CAUGUCAUGCUUGAGCUGGCUUACUGCCCGCAUGUUAAAGCCAAGGAACACAACAGGUUUGCGGGUGACAAAGUCCCGGUCACAUGAGCGCCGAUGGUUGG